CUUUCCCCUAAAGGUGUUGUGGGUGUGGCUGCUGUGUCACAUGAGCGUCAGUAUAUGGCAGAGAGGAGAUAGGCUAUUGUUCUGACCUAUGAAAAUCUGAAUGACGGGUAACCUAACUAA
ensembl:snoRNA LOC120097618 small nucleolar RNA SNORA17